rnacentral:piRNA from 1 species
UAGAAAAAGCUUUCGAACAGU